ensembl:lincRNA 1700029M20Rik RIKEN cDNA 1700029M20 gene
UCUCUUUAACACUUUAACCCAACCAGCUGAAGCAGCACAUGUGGGUCACCUUGGAGACAGCCGACCUACCAAUCUGAAAGAGACCGUUUUCCCUAACUUCCAGGACUGGGGGAGUUAACGGUUUGAGCGAACUCUCUCCCUAAAGUCCCCUGGCUUCAGGGUCAUUCGACUUGCAAAUUGACUUGGCUCCUCUCUCACACCCAUGUUUAGGGGGCUGUGGCCAGCAAGGUGUUUUCCAUAGCCCUGGAACGGAAAUCAGGUUGGGCAGCGUGACCAACCGCUGAAGCACCAACCGCUGAAGCACGGCAGGAGGAAUGACUAGAUAGGAUUUAAGGAUGGCUCCCGUGACCGCAGCAUCACAGGGAUGUCAAGAACACACCUUAAGGGAGAGAAAGACCGUUGUGAGUGGACCUUCCCAGACCCUCAGGUGAGCUCCAGACUCCACAAGGACACCCCUGAAGCGACAGACCUCUCUCCUUAUUUCCUUGAGUGAUCUGCAUUUCUCUCAGAGUUGUGAAGGGAGCAGAUGGAACGGGGCUCUCAGGAGCAAGCGCCUUUACUCUCUUGGCAACUUUCCUCGAUGUCCGGUGUCCACGCCCCUCCUAGCUUUGAGCAUCGCUGUCUACUCGUCCUUGAGAGCGUCAGCAAGAAGGAAAUUACUCUGCCAUUUUCAACCACCCCUCAUCCCAAUCUUACCAUACUUAUCCUAGACUGGCUCUUCCAGGACCAGAUCUGAGCCUGAUUCACCUCUGUGUUCCCAAAAUUGAGUACCGGCUGGUACAAGAGUGGUUUCCUACCUAUAUCUGAAGAGUUGAGUAUAUGCAGGGCCCAUCUCAUUCACUGUGUUCUAGGCCCUAGGGUGUUUUUCAACCUAACAGGAAACUGAUCUGGCCUAGGGUGUUGUCUGCAAGUCACCCAUGGGCACCAUUGCCUUCGCCAGGCCGCGGUUUCUUAAUGUAGUACUGGAAGUUCAUGUAUUUUUCCCAAAAGGGUAGGCAAAGUUUUCAAGAGUUUGUGGGUUGUUUUCUGGCAGGGAGGAUCAGCAACAGUCUCCAUCAGAAUUCAGCGGGGUUGUGAGAAGAGACCGGAGAAAGGGUACGGGGAGGAGAAUAGUUCCCGGAAUCAUUUGCCCAGAUCCCUGGGUCACACACCUGCUGUCCUCCUCCGUCCUCCUCCGGCAUGGGAGGAGCCCUGAGCUCCAGGGGUGCAUGUCACUGUUUGGCCCUUUGGAAAGUUCUAUAAACUGGGAUGUGUCCCCUGCAUGCACACUCCUGUGGUGUGAGCAUCCUUCAAAGGCAUUUGCUGGCUUUCACAGGGCUCUGGAUCUUUUCGAGGCAAGUUUAGAAGCCUCACUCACUCCCAGGGUGGUACUGGGGUGGGGUGGGGUGGUCCAGGACAGGGCCUGGCGUGCACUAGGCAAAGCUCUCCACCUCUCCAGCCCCCAGCACUUUGAGUUGAACUCAGCUCUGUUUUUCCGUAAGGUCUCUUCCCAGGAGCAAUUGCCCUUGCCUGCUUUUCCUUCAGGCCUCUGCUGUCGGGUCUUCAGGGCCAACUCUCUGCCUGACCAUGGCCUGAGCAGCGAGAACCCCUCCCCUAACACCUGUUUCAGCACAUGACUGGGCCGAUCCUGAUUUUCAAGACACAUUUCUGUGGUCCUUCAACUGUCAGGGCUACUGAUGAACUGUGGUCUCCCAAGAAGACGGGCUCCUCACUUGACACCUCUCUGUUCUGUUCCUGUGGCCUAGCAAGGGGUAUGCACACCAUAGGUGCUAAAUAAAUGUGCAGGAUCAAGAAAACAGUCUUGUUUUCACAGACUGGAUCGGCCAUAGCUGAACCAGUUUCUUGGAUGCUCUCUUUCUAACGGGCAUGCAGGAUGCCUUGUUUGCUUAUGCGGUAUAGAGUGGCCAUUCUGGGGCUCGAAGGGAGAACGUGGUUCCUCACUGCCGACCCAGGAAAGGAGCUCAGCUACGUAGACUCUGAACCCAGGCAGUCUGGAUUCAAACCUCAAAGUAAUUCUAUUGCCCUGAGCAUGUUGAUCUCUUUGUGCCCAUGUGCCCCUUAUCUUAUACAGGGAUGUUAACAUCCUAGGCCACUUGGGGAACUCUUGAGAGAAUUCAAGCAUUUGUGAUCUAGAGCGGGACAUUGCCAGUGCAUGGCUGUCAUUAAUGGCCACACAAUUCAAGUCCCUUCUGCCCUUUGCCUUUCAAUAAUAUGUCUAAAGCCUAGAGCCUUCACUUCAAUUUCUUGGCUCCCAUUUAACCAGCCCAAGUAACGGGCUCAUCCAAGGUCAUUUCCAACCUGUGGACCCUGGGUUGUUAGCUGGAAGGACCCAUGUGUGCCCUGGUCUCUGGUGCAUGGGGCCAAUCUUAGUUUCAGCAGAAUAGUCAUAGUUACACCCCAGUCUUGGAUCUUGGAGUUUUCUUAUUUAUGAAGCAAGCCCCAAAUACCGCCUCAAGCCAGAAGCCUGAUGGGAGAAUUCAUUAAUGCCCUUGCCUGACCCUUGAGAAUGAAAAAGGGUCAGGGAAAGUUGGACUUGCUGAGUGUCUACCACAAUCCUUGACAUCUUGCACAUCCUUUAGUGAGCCUUCACAUUAGCCCGAGGAACCCACAGAGGACGCCUAUGACUCAGGACUUAUCGGCCAACAUGUGGACUUCCUGCUGAUGUCUGCACUUGCAUUAGAGGAGGCUCUGGAAUACCAUUUGUGGUAAUGGACCAGUUCUGUAUCUUGAUUGUGGUGAUGAUUAUAUGGGAUCAAAUCUCACAGGAGCAAAUGGCACAGGCUGCGUGCUGAGCGGAAGCCUCUGGACUCUUAAAGACUUCUGAGUUAGUGAAAUUGGACUACAGCCAACUUGCUGGCUCAGAGUCUUAUGGUCACAUUAGAUGUUGCUACCGGGGGAAGCUGGGAAACGGUCCAUGGAACCCUCUAUCUCUGCUAUUUAAGACUUGUGAGUCUUAAACUAGAAUAAAAUGAAAUAUUUG